rnacentral:sRNA from 2 species
CAGUGCGCCCGUGUGGUCUCUAACAAACUAUUUAACUACGAUAUCUAUUCACACUCAGAAACACCCGGAUAGGUUACAAGCCCAGCGAAAGCACAAGCCAGGACAGCUAGCGCCUCUAGGCCCCGAGCCAUGCCUCUGUCACAGCAAAAGCAAGCAUGCGCGGGAAACUUGUUCCUACUCCCUAUGGCUCCACCGCGAGGACUCAUGAGAGCAAUUUCAACUUCAUGGAGGGGAGAUGAGAGAGGCAAAAAGGAACUUGGAGGAUGACAAUACAAUAGCAAAAGGGAUAUAUAGUAUUCGUUUGUCUUUGUUUCCAUAUACCUAUUCAGCACCGUUCAGUUUGAGUAUCUAGGAAACCAAGGAUGGAAACAAAUAUUUGGAAAAGGGAGAGAAUAUAUGAUAGCCUAAGGCCUUUUAUAUUUACAAUUCGUUGGCCUACUUUAAUACCUACG